CAGAAGUGGAGAAACCAAAAAGGGUGGGAGAGCGUCUGGGAGACCAGAGGAAAGCAGCCACAAAAGCUCAGAUUUCCAGUAUCACCUUGGGACUUGUGUAACCAAACCCUUCAGCAUCUCCACCACAGAUGUUCCCCAAAGACUAGUGGGUCUGAGAGGACAUUUGGUUAAAAAGAGGUUGAGAGAGAGAACAGAAAUGAGACAACAGGAUGCUGACUUUGCAGGGAGGUUGUGAGACCAGGAGGAUUAUAUUUGGGGUCCCUGAGUUCACACCCCUUGCUCUGGACAAUCAUUUUUCUUUCCCUCAUGCAGCAGUUCCUGGGUCAUCAUAAAGAGGGGGUGUCUCCCUAGCUCUCAGCAGUGUGAAGAGGAGGGAAGCCAGGAAUGAGCACCAGAGCUCUGAGAAACCUCACAGCCCAGCAUUUUCUCCUGUCUGGAAGUGCACUUGCAAAAUCCAAGCCCAGAGAGGGAGGCCACAAGAGCAGAAGCCUUUCAAGAUUACCCCGAGGCUAGUGGGUGAGUAUCUUCCCCCUGCUCUCUCAGCUGGAGGAGCAGGCAAGAUUGAUUCAACCAAGAUACCCGGCAGCACUGGAAAAACUGAGAUCUCAGCAAAGCCAAAGGCGCUUGCUAAGCAUCUCCUAUUAGGAGAGUGCUCUCACACAGCUGCCCCACAGACAGCCAAGACAACGAGGUGCCUCAGCAAUAAACCACUCUUCUCUCCCCCCCAGCCCUCUUGAGUGAGUGCAGUGCAUCCCAGUAGAGCUGCGCUGUGCCACGGCCGAGGUCGCUGCUGCACUCUGCUUUGAUUCACCACAAUGUCCCCUCCCACAUGCUGUUUUCAUUAGAGCCUGGAUCUUCUGGCAAGGGUACUGUGCACAGUCAUGAGAAGCUGCUCACUGGUGGCUUGUUUUAUCCAGUUGUUGGAGGCUUAAAACAAUGAGCUUGCAAAUAUUUCAUUCCUCCCCCGCACUCUUGCUUGCUUCUUACUUCCUCUCUUUUCCUUCUCUCUCUUUUUCUUUAUUCUUGUAGAGAGAGAGAGAGGGGGGAGGUACAUGGGAGAUAGUGCUGUGUCUUGGAAUUAGGAGGGAUGAGGGAAAAGAGAUCAGAAGGGUGUUUUCUUUCCUGUUGUGAAUACACGUGCAUGUGAGCACGCUUGUGUGUGUGUUUCACACAUGCACUCUGCCAGCUGCCCAGCACCAUCACAACCUGCAACACGUUUGUUGCCCUGACACAGGCAGGAAAGCUCAGAGCAGGACCCCUUGUUACCACUGCUAGAAAGAUGCCCCAUGCUAAAGCCUCACAGCUGUCACAGUGUCGUCAGGACAGAGGCACAUUCCUCUGUGCUUUCACUCUGGCAGGCCCAGACAUGGAG
rnacentral:lncRNA from 1 species